CUGCACCGUCAAUGAGGACAUCACCUUUGGGCAGCAGAAGGCGGAAGAGAGACCGUGCUCGGGGGGGAAAAGGACCAGCGUGGUCACGAGGCUCUGAGUGCGAUCGCUUCACCAGAGCACAAUUUAAAAUACUGCUCUUACCACAAGUGACAGUAUUCGUGCCUUGAGGUGAACAGGAGGAGUAGACGGGGGUCCAGUCCAUGUGACAAUAACAACUUCAUCCAAACCACAGCAGUGUCCACCACCUGUACAGGAACAACAAAUAGACACAUUUAGCGGCCAGAUAGUGAACGCUGCAGAGCAUUCAACAGCUGGAGAGCAUUCAACAGCUGGAGAGCUGGAUGGAUAUUUCCCCCUGGAUGAAAGCAGAAGCUGUGCGGUGGCCUUCAUGUGCAUUCGUGCCAUUUUUAUUCCGAGCUGUGACUCCAACGGAGAAAUGCAACAUCUUUCACAGAUUUGUGCGUUCUGGGUUACCGUAGCAACACGACGGCAAAACAGGUUUAGCGAUGAAGACUUGCAGUUUCAGCAACAUAUAUGACAGGAUUUGAUGAAGGU
ensembl:lncRNA